rnacentral:rRNA from 1 species
UGGGGAAUAUUGCACAAUGGGCGCAAGCCUGAUGCAGCCAUGCCGCGUGUGUGAAGAAGGCCUUCGGGUUGUAAAGCACUUUCAGCGGGGAGGAAGGCGGUGAGGUUAAUAACCUCAUCGAUUGACGUUACCCGCAGAAGAAGCACCGGCUAACUCCGUGCCAGCAGCCGCGGUAAUACGGAGGGUGCAAGCGUUAAUCGGAAUUACUGGGCGUAAAGCGCACGCAGGCGGUCUGUCAAGUCGGAUGUGAAAUCCCCGGGCUCAACCUGGGAACUGCAUUCGAAACUGGCAGGCUAGAGUCGUGUAGAGGGGGGUAGAAUUCCAGGUGUAGCGGUGAAAUGCGUAGAGAUCUGGAGGAAUACCGGUGGCGAAGGCGGCCCCCUGGACAAAGACUGACGCUCAGGUGCGAAAGCGUGGGGAGCAAACAGG